UUGGUAUCUUUGGCUUCGCUCCGUCUCAAUUCGUAAUCCCUCUUGUCUUCAAGACUGAUUUUGGACGGUGUGUUGAGAUUUGCUCACUGUCUUUUCUCUAGAGGUAUGAUUGUGUCCUCGCCUUUCACCUGCUUCUCUUGGCGUUUCAUGGUCGUCAAUCGUUUUGACUUCGCCUUCUCCAAAAGAUGAGUUGAAAACACUGUUCGCUUUGGAAACUCUUGUUCGUUACGGAGAUUUGAAGCAAAAGUUUUAUGCUUUAUCUGCUAUGCUUAUUCACUAUGAGAGGUGUCUUGUUGGUUCUCUUUUAACAAAGAUUUGCAUGGAGUUUGGUGUUUUGGUGCUUGGAGCAUUCUUCUACUCUACGCUUUUGUUGUGACCUUUUAAUCUUGUUCUGGUUUUAAUCUCUAAAUCGUCAUGUUUUAUGUUCAAGUGUAUAACAAAAAUGUUUCACUGUGUUAGUGCCUUGUAUCCGUAGAAUCUAUUUCUGUCGGCUCUGUCUCCGGGUUGCUUCCGGCUUUGGUUUAUGGUCUAUGUUUAUCUUAUUUUGUAAAUCUCAUGUUUAAUAUAAUCAUC
rnacentral:lncRNA from 1 species